AUUUUUAUUUACAUUUUAUCCCCUUUCUUAUUUAACUUGUAUCUUUAUUGUAUAUUUAUUAAUGAAAAUUUACUUUAUAUUGUUUCAGUCGAAUUAAGCGCAGCUAACGCGAGAAGAAAUAUUGGACGCAGCGUUGGCUCUUUUGCACCUGAAGGGUGUAAUUAAAUAUACACCGCUCCCAACUCCCAAGAGAAGCCUUUUCACCGCGUAAGAGAUAUAUACAACAUGUCAGACGAAGUGGACGCUGCCUUGGCGCUUUUGCGCCUGAAGGGUGGGGUGGAAUGGAAACCGCCCACGACCGCCCCGCCCGCCCCGCCCCUAACUCCAAUAGAAGCGCUGUCGCUACGGGAGAUCAUCGCAGUCAACGCGCUGCUGGAUCUGCGGGAUCAAUCCCCAACUAAAAUCAUAGAAUCAAAAAGGAACGUAAAUUGAUUUACAUUUCAGUUAAAUUAUUUCAUGUAGGCAAGUGAACUAGGUCUUAGCAAUCGGAGCUCAAGACGGAGAGUUGAACGCAAACAAUGUCAAUGACGAAGUAUAAGUAUUAUUUUAAGGAUAUUUAGUUUAUUAACAAUAAAAUGUAUGUAUAUAUUUGUAAAA